rnacentral:snRNA from 1 species
ACCACUUCUUGGGGUUUUGGCUAAAAUCAAGUGUAGUAUCUGUUCUUAUCAGUUUAAAGCACACAUCUGGAAAAUCUCUAAUAUCGGAAGUUAGGGGUUAUUGAUUCACAUGCAAGUAGAAAAAUGUAUACCCCUC